CGCAGAACACUUCUGCGAGUGGUCAGCACAGAUCGCACUUUCGGAUCUCGGCAAGUAUACCUGAAGAGGCCUAAAAGAUAGCUUUGAACUAACCAAGUCACCUUCCAGCGCGCUGUUGCUUAGGCCUCGCCUGCAGAAACCGUUCCGCAUACGUCGGUCGAUUCGAGCAGUCUCCGAAAUGAUGGCAAACCUGUUGACGCCAGCCGUGACGUCGGUCGCGCAGCUUCACACCGUGAUGAAAGCAAGAAUGCAACCCGGUGUCCACUUCAUGUUCUCCACACCCAUAGGCGUCCUAAAACAAAAGCUGAACUUUGAGUUCCCCAGGGGGUUUGUCAAGCACACCGUUUUGACCAUAGUCUUCCAAGCCGAAUCCAGCAAGGCGUAAGCAUGCA